rnacentral:rRNA from 1 species
GACGAACGCUGGCGGCGUGCCUAAUACAUGCAAGUUGAGCGCUGAAGGUUGGUACUUGUACCAACUGGACGAGCAGCGAACGGGUGAGUAACGCGUGGGGAAUCUGCCUUUGAGCGGGGGACAACAUUUGGAAACGAAUGCUAAUACCGCAUAAAAACUUUAAACACAAGUUUUAAGUUUGAAAGAUGCAAUUGCAUCACUCAAAGAUGAUCCCGCGUUGUAUUAGCUAGUUGGUGAGGUAAAGGCUCACCAAGGCGAUGAUACAUAGCCGACCUGAGAGGGUGAUCGGCCACAUUGGGACUGAGACACGGCCCAAACUCCUACGGGAGGCAGCAGUAGGGAAUCUUCGGCAAUGGACGAAAGUCUGAACGAGCAACGCCGCGUGAGUGAAGAAGGGUUUCGGAUCGUAAAACUCUGUUGGUAGAGAAGAACGUUGGUGAGAGUGGAAAGCUCAUCAAGUGACGGUAACUACCCAGAAAGGGACGGCUAACUACGUG